rfam:Camelus ferus unplaced genomic scaffold scaffold1073, whole genome shotgun sequence.
GAAGGUAUAGCUCAAGUGGUAGAGCACGUACUUAGCAUGCACAAGGUCCUGGGUUCAAUUCCCAGUACCUCCU